GACCCAAUGGCACAGUUGGUUAGUGCGCCUGUUAGAGUUCACUACCUAUUGUACGAAGUGAACAGGAGUCCCUCGUUCGAACCGGGGUUGGGUCA